rnacentral:rRNA from 1 species
CCCUGACCGGGGUUGCGGACAGUGUCUGGUGGGUAGUUUGACUGGGGCGGUCUCCUCCCAAAGCGUAACGGAGGAGCACGAAGGUUAGCUAAUCCUGGUCGGACAUCAGGAGGUUAGUGCAAUGGCAUAAGCUAGCUUGACUGCGAGCGUGACGGCGCGAGCAGGUGCGAAAGCAGGUCAUAGUGAUCCGGUGGUUCUGAAUGGAAGGGCCAUCGCUCAACGGAUAAAAGGUACUCCGGGGAUAACAGGCUGAUACCGCCCAAGAGUUCAUAUCGACGGCGGUGUUUGGCACCUCGAUGUCGGCUCAUCACAUCCUGGGGCUGAAGUAGGUCCCAAGGGUAUGGCUGUUCGCCAUUUAAAGUGGUACGCGAGCUGGGUUUAGAACGUCGUGAGACAGUUCGGUCCCUAUCUGCCGUGGGCGCUGGAGAAUUGAGGGGGGCUGCUCCUAGUACGAGAGGACCGGAGUGGACGCAUCACUGGUGUUCGGGUUGUCAUGCCAAUGGCACUGCCCGGUAGCUAAAUGCGGAAGAGAUAAGUGCUGAAAGCAUCUAAGCACGAAACUUGCCCCGAGAUGAGUUCUCCCUGAGACUU